UACGAACCGUCCAAACGUUACUCGGAAUCACUGGGCUUAAAGGGUGCGUAGGCCGCUCGGAGGGUGGGAUGUGAAAUCCCCCAGCUCAACUGGGGAAUUGCGUCCCAAACCGCCGGGCUUGAGGGAGACAGAGGUCAGCGGAACUGAUGGUGGAGCGGUGAAAUGCGUUGAUAUCAUCAGGAACACCAGUGGCGAAAGCGGCUGACUGGGUCUUUCCUAACGCUGAGGCACGAAAGCUAGGGGAGCGAACGGG
rnacentral:rRNA from 1 species